rnacentral:rRNA from 1 species
UACAGAGGGUGCAAGCGUUGUUCGGAAUCACUGGGCGUAAAGGGUGCGUAGGCGGUAAAGUGUGUCUGGCGUGAAAUUCCUCAGCUUAACUGGGGAACUGCGUUAGAAACUGCUUUGCUAGAGUGCAAGAGGGGAUGGUGGAAUUCCCGGUGUAGAGGUGAAAUUCGUAGAUACCGGGAGGAACAUCUGGGGCGAAGGCGACCAUCUGGCUUGACACUGACGCUGAGGCACGAAAGCGUGGGUAGCAAACAGG